GUCAGGUGGCAUUAGCGAAGAGGUCACACCCGUUCCCAUCCCGAACACGGCAGUUAAGCUCUUCAGCGCCGAUGGUAGUUGGGGGUUUCCCCCUGUGAGAGCAGGACGCCGCCUGGC
rnacentral:rRNA from 1 species